GUGCGUGACGUGCGCAGGCGCAUUUUGACCCGAGGCGCGCGACCGCCCCUUAGUAGGCUCACGGUGCCGCGUCGGCUCUGCGCUCGCUUUCUCGUCCUGCUGGUGUGAGGAGGUUGUUCCGCACACUCGGUUCCCGCCGGCUCCCUCCCCUGAAUCCCUGCAACCGCCGCUGCGAAGAUGAUGCAUGCUGCAUCCUGUGAGCCUCACUUCAUCUGCAUUUAUUUACAUUAAAAAAAACAACAACAACUGGAACAUGCUGGUCAGUGUUAGGACCUUAAGGACAGAUGUCACCCACUUUUGUGUACAGGUUUCUUUUCAGGCCUCAUGAGGCGCCCGGAGUGCAAGUUGCUGAUGAAGUAUGUCGCAUUUUUUAUGACAUGAAAGUUCUGGAAAUGCUCCACACCUGAGGAAAUUAAAAAAGAAAGAAGGCUGUCAUUUUUUGUCUCAGUGCAGACAAAAAGUGCAUCAUUGUUGAAGAAGGCAAAGAGAUCCUAGUUGGAGAUGUGGGUGUGACCAUCACUGAUCCCUUCAAGCAUUUUGUGGGGAUGCUUCCUGAAAAGGAUUGUCGCUAUGCCUUGUAUGAUGCAAGCUUCGAGACCAAGGAGUCCAGGAAAGAAGAGCUGAUGUUCUUUUUGUGGGCCCCAGAACUGGCCCCUCUGAAGAGUAAGAUGAUCACGCCAGCUCUAAGGAUGCGAUCAAAAGAAGUUCCAAGGUAUGUGCGGGACUUGGACCUUAGGGAUGUGGGGACCCCUGAAGCACCUCCAUUUUCCUGGGAGAGCAGCUUUGAGUAGAAAGAGAAAAGCCAUGCUUGUUCUGAGGGAGAUCCCAAGGCUGAGCCACUACUCAGGAAGUCCUCCACCUCAGCCACAGAGAUUGUGCAGCAGGGCGGCCUUAAAGCCCAGUCCCCUGGGCUGCCUGUCCCUCACCUGCUCUGACUGGUUCAGACCAGCGUCCCCUGUAGCAGGGAAAGCCUGGGGCCUCUGUGGCCAGGCUAGUGUCACUGUGCCGAUGCCUUUGAAUGUAGUAAUA
rnacentral:lncRNA from 1 species